GGGAGUCCACACCCAGCAGCAGCUGCACUCUGGGCAGGCCCUUGGGCCCAGGGCAUCCAUUCACUGCUGGGACCAAGCAGAGGGCGACUCCUGGGAUGUUUCAUUUAAUCCUCACAGCAACACAGUUGUCAGUUGAAACAGGUUCAGAGCUUCGGAGAGGCCACUCCAGCCCUGUUCUGAAAAACAAGCUUCUACUGCCGAAUCUGAGGAUGAAGGAGAGAGAAUUGCUCGUGGUCCUGUUUGAACUGCAUUGCACCUGUGGCCCUUGCUCUGGGCUCCAGAACUUUUGCCUAGAAAGCAGAGGUGUCUGAGAGCCGGGCUGGUCUGGGAGAGAGGCAGAGGAAAAGACACCAAGCACGCUCAGAGCCUGCACCAGCACACCUGCCUAGCAGUGGGUGUGGAAGACCCAAAGCUGCAAUCAAGACCCCUACCUCCACUGGCCAUGUUCUCAGCACCCACUGGUCUACGUUCCAGCCUCCUGGAGUCCCUCUGAGUGUGUCUGUGGCUGCAGCUGGACCCAGUUUUGAAUUCUUUUCAAGUUUCAUUUCAAAUGGGAUUUCAGAAUAAAAACGACUAGACCCUG